UACGGGGGGGGCAAGCGUUGUUCGGAAUUACUGGGCGUAAAGGGCUCGUAGGCGGCCAACUAAGUCGGAUGUGAAAUCCCCAAGCUUAACUUGGGAACUGCAUCCGAUACUGGAUGGCUUGAAUCCGGGAGAGGGAUGCAGAAUUCCAGGUGUAGCGGUGAAAUGCGUAGAUAUCUGGAGGAAUACCGGUGGCGAAGGCGGCAUCCUGGACCGGUAUUGACGCUGAGGCGCGAAAGCCAGGGGAGCAAACGGG
rnacentral:rRNA from 1 species